rnacentral:rRNA from 1 species
UACGUAGGGUCCGAGCGUUGUCCGGAAUUAUUGGGCGUAAAGGGCUCGUAGGCGGUCUGUCGCGUCGGGAGUGAAAACUUACAGCUUAACUGUGAGCGUGCUUCCGAUACGGGCAGACUUGAGGUAUUCAGGGGAGAACGGAAUUCCUGGUGUAGCGGUGAAAUGCGCAGAUAUCAGGAGGAACACCGGUGGCGAAGGCGGUUCUCUGGGCAUGACCUGACGCUGAGGAGCGAAAGCGUGGGGAGCGAACAGG